UUAACCAGAGCGUCAAAGGUGGAAAUAAUGUUGUUGUGUUUCAGGCUAAAGAGGCCAUCUUGGAAAUGGAUUCCAUAUGUAAGUUGAUGUUAAAUGUUCCAAAGUGUACAAAUGUUUGCUCGAAUAAUGAAGUAGUAUUGGCAUGGUGAUAGUUGUUAGUCCGUCGUCAUGGUGAUAGUUGUUAGUCCGUCGUCAUGGUGAUAGUUGUUAGUAUGUCGUCAUGGUGAUAGUUGUUAGUAUGUCGUCAUGGUGAUAGUUGUUAGUAUGUCGUCAUGGUGAUAGUUGUUAGUCCGUCGUCAUGGUGAUAGUUGUUUGUAUGUCGUCAUGGUGAUAGUUGUUAGUCCGUCGUCAUGGUGAUAGUUGUUAGUAUGUCGUCAUGGUGAUAGUUGUUAGUCCGUCGUCAUGGUGAUAGUUGUUAGUAUGUCGUCAUGGUGAUAGUUGUUAGUCCGUCGUCAUGGGGAUAGGUGUUAGUCCGUCGUCAUGGUGUUCGUCUGACAUGUGUAUCACUGAACGUUGUGGUCCUCGCCUGUAGAUCCUCCCAGGUAUCGGUACAGUCCUGAGCGACUGAAGAAAGCUUUGUCCUGUCAGUCUGACGAGUUUCAACCAGACAGUCGCCAGGGACAACGACAGUCCGAGCCAAUCAGAGAAACACUGAAAAACAGCGAAGGUAAAAAAUCCACCUAAAGCGUUGCCAUGACGACUUCUAUGACAAGUUCAAGAUAAUAAUAACAAUGUUAUUAAUAAUGAUAAAGAUGUUAAUUAUAGUAAUAAUAAUGAUGAUAAUGCAAAUAAUCCGGAUGUUGAUGAUGAUGAUAAUAAUCAAAUCUGCUUUACUUCUUCUGCUGCUGAUUGUUGAUCAGUCAUCGUCAAGCAGGAGGACGGAUGCGGAGUCUCCUUCGACGGCUGUGAGCAGAAAAACGGCCGUUUUCUUGAGGAAGACGAGCCAGGUGGAACCGGGCCAACGGGCGGGCAGGUAAAUGAGAGAGCAGCCGGCGACUCGCACAUUCUCACAGAGAUCCACUUCUCCGUCUCUUUGGGAAGUAAUAUGACAAAUAGUCACAGUGUCUUCUGGUGGCGUCGGCUCCUCGCUGAGUUAGUUACCCUUCAAAAAAGGUCACUAACUGGGGGGCACCAGUCCGGAUCUGGA
ensembl:lncRNA